UACGUAGGGGGCAAGCGUUGUCCGGAAUUAUUGGGCGUAAAGAGCGCGUAGGCGGUCCGGUAAGUCGGCUGUGAAAGUCAAGGGCUCAACCCUUGAAAGCCGGCCGAUACUGUCGGACUAGAGUCCGGAAGAGGCGAGUGGAAUUCCCGGUGUAGCGGUGAAAUGCGCAGAUAUCGGGAGGAACACCAAUGGCGAAGGCGGCUAACUGGUCCAGAUCUGACGCUGAGGUGCGAAAGCGUGGGGAGCAAACAGG
rnacentral:rRNA from 1 species